rnacentral:lncRNA from 1 species
UUCAAUAUCACUGCAGUUCAAUGGCCAUGGAGGGAGGGAGGGAGGGAAUGCGUUUCCACAUUAAUACAUAGACCCAUACUCUUCACACACAGCUGUACUUGCCCUGACACACAACCCCAGACAUGAAUUAGACUCACACAGACCAGGACGUGGUGGAAAUAGCCAGCGGCGCCCCCCAAGGCUUUCUAAGCAAAUAGCCAUGCACAAACAAAUACGUAGAAGACCAUUAGACACACACACACACACACACACACAUAGACAGGAAAAAGACACAAACACACACAGAUAUGCAUGAAAAAAAAUUGUGCACACACGCACUAGAAAAAGACACAGGUAUACUCCUAGACAUAGGAGAUCACAGACAGAGAAAAUACCAGACAGUAUACACGAGUGUCGACUCUGAAAUACAUAUGUAAUGCCACACAUAAUCACACACAGACUGGGGGGGGGACAUGAAAUGAGAACAAGAGAACGCAUGGAAAAAAGGUCAUUAAAUAACCUCAGGGCAAUUUACCAUGAAAACUCGCUCUUCCAUCCAACCCCGUCCCCUUUGCUUUCCUUCCUCAUCUGCUUUCCUCUCCUUUUUUUCUCGAUUAUCUGUUUUCUAUUGGUCUGUCUGUCCGUCCGUCCGUCUGUCUGUCUUUGUCUUUGUACUCCCUUAGUGCCCAUAUUAGGACUGUUGGGAUCUGUCCAGAACAGAGAGAGAAAGUGUUGCAUGCCUUCUCCACAGAUUGCAUCAAGUAGGUUAGAGGUUGUGAAAGGGGAAAUCCACUGUCUCCACAGUUAUUUUUUUGGGACUCUGCACUAUACAACUUUAUUUGAUGGCAGAACAUUCAGAGGCUGUAAGCUUGACACCUGGCAAAAUGCUUCUUCUGUUUCUGUGUCUCGGUUUGGUCACUUCUAAUGUCCAGUCAAGAAUACCAGGGGUUAACGUAACGUGUGAAAAUCAAUCGGUUGUAGCAGGGCAGAACCACAACCUGACAUGUAGAGUGGAUUACCGUGAUGCAGAUCAGAAUAAGACGGGAUGUAAAACUGAACUCUAUUUCUGGAAGCAUAAAUCAAAAACUCCUAUACGAAUUUGUACAACAGAUUGUAACAUUACGAUAACAACCAAAACCUACUUUUUUGAGAUCAAAAAUGUUUCCAAAGCUGAUGAGGGAAACUACACUUUUUUCAUUAACACAGUCUGUGGCAACGGAAAUGGCACAUUGAAUGUUAAAGUUACAUUGAGAAAUGAGAAACCACAGACUGAAAUGAGAAAACAGGGAUCGUCACGUCACAUAAUCGUCAUUAUCAUCACUGUUCUGGGUGUUCUGCUGUUUCUCAUCGCUUCUGGUUACGGCAGAAGAUUGAUGGGUCGACUUAAGUUCCUUGAGAAAAAUGACAACGUUGACAAGAGCCCUGAAGCUACCAGAGAGGCCCUAAACCUGGAGCCUGCAUAA